rnacentral:lncRNA from 10 species
CUUUAAAAUUUAAACUCAUAACUUCCAUGCUUCCUCUGCACCUGGCAUUUUUUGAAUAGUUUCAUUUUCUUGCCCAACAAUAGUGUUCUGGUUUUCUAAGGCAAAUAUGUCCCCCUUUGCUCUAGAAGCAGCUGACUGGGAGAAAACCAAAGGGAAGGGAAGGUUAUUAGAAGAAAUGUGUCAUAUAUGCCACAAAUCCUAGGACGUCAACCCUUUCUCAAGACAGCAACCAUUUCUAUUUCCUCCAGAUCUUAAAAAGCAGGACACUGAUGGCUGCCUUUCUGUCAUCAGUCACCAGCUCCCCUAGGGCUGUAAACUCAUUUUAACACUGGACAGAUCCAACACAAAUCCAGAAAAAGUGUGUACUGCUUCCAGAUGUUUCUUAGCAUCCAGAUGUACAGCCUGCCUCGGCUACUGCUGCUUCUAUCAAGUUGAACACUGUGUCUCUGCUUCAUAAGUUACAUCCUUGCAAACAUAAUAUGAUCAUUCAUGGGAUGUGAGAAUUGGUUUUAGUAAGCAUAAGCUA